UGGUGGAGUGAUUUGUCUGGUUGAUUCCGAUAACGAACGAGACUCUCAGGGUAAACUGGCUUAGGUCGUAAUUCGCGUUACCUCCGGCCUCUUUUCCCGACAAUUUGUUUCAAACAAAAGGAAGCGGAGAGCAAUAACA
rnacentral:rRNA from 1 species